rnacentral:tRNA from 1 species
GGAAAGGUGGCCGAGUGGUUGAAGGCGCCGCUCUCGAAAAGCGGUAUCUCCGAAAGGGGAUCGAGGGUUCGAAUCCCUCCCUUUCCGCCA